rnacentral:rRNA from 1 species
CCCUUUGAUACUCUGGGCGGCACGCGCGCUACAAUGGAUAAUACAACGUGUUACUUAACCGAAAGGUUAUGUAAAUCACAAAUGUUACGUCUUGAAUGGGAUAGUUUAUUGCAACUACAGACUUGAACUAGGAAUCCCUUGUAGGUACACUGAAGCAUAGUGUACCGAAUACGUCCCUGCCGUUUGUACACACCGCCCGUCGUUUCUUCCGACUGAUACUCAUUGUGAAUUACGAGGAUGCGUUAGCAAAAUCGUUGUAAAUGCUGGGUAUUGGAGGAAGAAAAAGUCGUAACA